UAGUGAUUGUUUCUUACACUGUGGUAAAGGUUUUUUCAUUCUAACUUAAAAAUUUGCCGUGCUACUUGUCCAGCCAUACACCCUUCAAGAAGUAAGUCUUCAGUACAAAGCUGUAUGGUGGCCAUUUUGUAUAAUAACGCACCAGAAGAAAAACAUUGCUUGAUGCAAAGGAUCUUUUUCAGAAUGUUGUUUAAUUCAGCUAUCUCCCUCAAAAAAUUUCUCAAGCAAUACUGAUUUUUUUCACCACUUAAGUUACCUCACUGUUAAACUUAAAUUUUAAGUUGCAACUCAUAUUGCAUAUAUUUUUUUACUUCAUUUUUGCAAGGAUUUUAAAACUAUUUAUAAAGUACAGAAAUUACGUAGCAACCUGUAUGUUACUCUUUUUCUUGUAAUUUUUUAUUUAAUAUCAUUAUUCUUGUUUUAAAGCUUUUGAAGUUUAUGCCUAGUCAUGAGGAAAAAGUCCUUUUGGAAGAACAUAGCAUAGAAAUUGAUAAUAUGGCUAGAUCUGAUAGAUUUUUAUUUGAAAUAAGCAAGAAUGUUUCUAAAAACUGUGCUCAGAGAUAUGAGAUUUCAAUAAUGAAGUUCUUUUUAAAGAAAACUAUACAAAGUUUUUUAAUUCAAACUUUAUUCUACAAAAAAAUAAAUUGCAAGAAAGAGUG